rnacentral:rRNA from 1 species
UACGUAGGGGUCGAGCGUUGUCCGGAGUUACUGGGCGUAAAGCGCGCGCAGGCGGCGCGAUAAGACCGGCGUGAAAGCCCCCGGCUCAACUGGGGAGGGUCACGCGAUACUGUUCGACUCGAAGGCAGGAGAGGGAAGUGGAAUUCCCGGUGUAGUGGUGAAAUGCGUAGAUAUCGGGAGGAACACCAGUGGCGAAGGCGACUUCCUGGCCUGUUCUUGACGCUGAGGCGCGAAAGCGUGGGGAGCAAACAGG